rnacentral:lncRNA from 1 species
GGAUCUGCGAUUGGACAUGGAAAAUAGAAAUACUUUUUCUUGGGUAAAGGAACAGAUAACUCGAUCGAUUUCUGUAUCGAUCAUGAUAUACGUAAUAACUCGGACAUCUAUUUCAAAAAAAUGUAUAAUAAUUAGUAAGUCUUGAUAUUCUUUCAUGGAGUCCCUUCUUGAAUCUUAGAUUGAAAAAAAAAGAAUGCCCCUUAGGGACCUUUCUUUGGAUACCAAGAUUUCUGAAGGCAUGGGAGUGGAGAGGCAGAAGUGAAAGACUGGCUACCAAUAAAGAUCCAAAACUGCACAUACCAUUAACUUUUUGUGUGCUAGCAAUAUCUCUACGUGUGAUUCGUUAAAAUGGAUCUUUUUCCUAUAAAAUCCAUUAACUAUUAUUUCUUUCUACGCUGUCCUUAAUAGCGGGUUGGUUACAUCUACAACCCAAAUGGAAACCAAUAAGCACAAAAUCAUCCAUUCUGGUUCUACAUUUGUUUGUAUAAAAUGUUUCGCCAAUUGCAUGCGUCUAAUCAAAAAAACUUUUCUUAUUCGUCUUUUUCUAUCUCCCCAUUCUUGCAAUUGCUCAGGAUACCCUCUUUUAGCUGCUAGGUCUAUUUCUUAGUUCAAGAUCCCUCUUACUAACUGGAAUAAAAGAAUUAGUAGAUCUGAAAAGGGAAUCGAUCGUGAUUUGGAACCUGUUCUUUACAUGAACCCUCUUAACUAAGAUUUUCUUAUUUAUACCUGUUCUACUUUUUUUCUGUUCUGGCUCGGUUAUUCCAUCUAGCCGAGCCAUUCAUUCCUUUUUAUGAAAGAAAGAUAAGGGACAGAAAAAAAUGUAUUUUCCCAUCAACUAGCUAAAAUUGAUUAACCCUAGGAUUAGGAUCCUUUUUUCUUUUUUCCUCUAUGUGUAUUUUACUUUAGCGCAAGGGCGCUCGAUUAGUGAGCUAUUACGCACUCUUUAAAGGGUGGCUGCUUCUAGGCAAACCUCCUGGCUUUCUUUGCACCCCCACGGCCUUUAUCACUGAGCGGUCAUUUAGGGGCCUUAGCUGGUGAUCCGGGAUCGAUAAACCUUUUGGAUUUUAUUAACCAAAGAGAUACGACUUUGGGCUAUGGUUAGCUCAGCUCCAAUCAAGAAUAUUCUUACUAUUAUUGUAUUAUCUUAUUUAUAGUGAAACAAGUUGAGAAGAGGUUGUUAAUAAGAGAUUGCCCAGGGAAAUAGGUAAAAGAAAUUUCCAUCUUUGAUUCUCUAUAAACCAAGAAUAAAGGGAAAUCACUGAUUCAUUUGGAGCUGUUUUCUACCUGACUCAUUGACAUGAGAGAUUAGAUGCGAUGCGCCAGUCACUCGACCGUCAAUCCUUUCUUGUGACGAGCCAUGACUGGGUGCUCUGAAACCUCCUUAAAAGGAGGGGCGGUGGGGUAAGGUAAUUGUUGGGCAGUACACAGGAGGAAAUUGACAGGUCUAUAAAUUCUAUUAAAGGAAUGAGAAAGCUAAUGAAUCUUAAACCCAUUGAUAAAAAGAAAAAAAAGGGUACCAACGAUCUGGAAUCCCGUGCUGAAACCUACAGAUAUGCACCUAUGCGGACCAUCCUGGCAAUCCUCCUGUCUAUUCUUUCUAAUAACCAACGAAUGGCAAGUGCUCUUCCUUGUUUAGAUCCUAUUUCAAUCGGAACUUUCCGCGUCGAUCCUUUUUAUUUUAUCUUGUUUCUUACCUAAAUUUAUUAGUUUCUUCUUUAUUUGUAACAGUUCUCUACUUGGGCGGGUGGAAUUUAUCUAUUCCCUAUAUAUCCUUUUUUGUCUGAAAUCUUUAAGCAACUAAAAAAGACGUAUACUAAAAGAUAUGUGUUGAAAAGGGAUGGUCAAUAACAAGAUGAACCCAAUGCCCAAUCUUCCUCGGGUUCCACGGGGUAAAUCCAUUAAAAAGGACAAAUUUUAGCAGAAGGAGCUGCUACAGUUGGGGGCGAACUUGCUUUAGGAAAAAACGCCCUAAAUAAACGCGGACACUUAAAAAAUCUGUCGGGCAGGCAGAUUCACAUCUCUUACAACCCACACAAUCUUCGGUUCUCGGCGCGGAAGCAAUUUGCUUGGCUUUACAUCCAUCCCAGGGUAUCAUUCCCUUUUAUGAUUGGAGAACCUGGCUUUGAUGACAUUCCUGAGGGAUCCGCAAAACCCCUCGCCAUUACCGUAUGAGCAGGUUUGAAAGCCUGCAAGUUAAGUUGUUGGCUGCUCUUAGCGAUUGACGGACGAAGCCGAGCCGAUAUGAUAGGCGGGCGAAGUGAGCGAGACCAAGACGGGCCAGACGUGGCUAAUUUUUUAAUUAAAUAAAAAAUCCCUUUUAACUUAGUGGUAGAGUAAUGCCAUGGUAAGGCAUAAGUCAUCGGUUCAAAUCUGAUAAAGGGCUUUCUAAUUGAUUGGAUAUCCCGCAUAAGGAAUCGAAGGAAGAUGCGACGUUUUAUUCCAGGGAAUCCCCAACAAAAAAUGCACAUUUGUAUCUGGAUUUUUUGAUUUCCUAAAAGAGUUUUGGUCUAACAGUUUUUUCUCGGAAGAAGAAAAAUAAACAAAAGAAUGAAUAAAAUAUGAAAGAAAAGCGUCCAUUGUCUAAUGAGUUCAUAACCCUAGCGCCCAUUCCCAUUUUGGGCGGAACAGAUCUACUAAUUCUUUUAUUCCAGUUAGAGCCGAAAUAGGAGUGGGUCCUUCCAUAGCAUCGGGUAACCAUACAUGAAGAGGGAAUUGUGCGGAUUUCGCAACUGCACCAAGGAAUAAUAAAAAAGCACACAAAGUAGUAAGUAAAAACCUUCAUGAAAUGAAGGUUUUAUUUUAUGUAAUCAUUUAGGUGUUAGUGUAAACGAACCAUAAUUACUAGCCAAUAUUUAUCUCAUGCCUUUCCUCGUUCAUGGUUCGAUAUUCUGGUGUCCUAGGCAUAGAGGAACCACACCAAUCCAUCCUGAACUUACAGCAGCUUGCCAAACAAAGGCUAAUAGAAAAAAGAAUAGAGGUAUAACAUGCUUUAUUCUUAAGUGGGGGAAUCCCCUGAAAGCCGGUGUUCGAGUGAGUUUUUUCCAGGAAGCUAGUUCUUUAGGGCUUAACCCCUUUUGUUAUUCUACCUGCACUCUUCCGUAAACUAAAACGUGCAUUAUCAAUAGGAUCAAUUCUAACAAGUCACACACUCAUAUUCCAGAGAUACCGAAACAAAAAAAUUCCGCGGUCGAACUACCAUAAUAUCUAGAAAUGUAGAUCUUAAACUAGAAAGGCUUUUUUGGAUGGAAAAACUCUGACUUCCUAGUUUUAGUUAGUAGAAACCUAAUUGGUUAAAAUUCCAUCCAGUAAAACGGAAGAAUUAUAAAUUUCUAAAAUACAUAGCUUUCUUUAGUCUUUCCGGUAUAGCGUCGCGUCGGUCGAUAUCGCAGAGUCUAAUUUCCUAACUCGGAUUUGAACUCAGUGGGUAAUUUCUAACAAAGUUUUUCUCUUGUUGAUUCCUAAUUCUAGGUGUAGUGCUUUUCUCCCCUAUGCUGCCUACGGAUACUAAAGAUCACCGCUUUUCAUACGCUAAUUCGUGAUUCAAAGUAGAGCGAGUGAGGGAGCUAUACCCGGGACUCAAUCAACAUAUGCCAGAAAUAGGAAAUUGGAAUGAAAUCCAGUCUUAGUCAAAUACUUCAUAUCUCUUUGUGUCCAAGCAGAAGGAAAAGGAUACAAUUUGAGCCCAAUCCCUUUGGUCAUUUCGCUUUUCGUGCCGGCCUGUAUUCAGAGUUUCUUGGAUUUGCGGUGCCUGAAUGCCUUUCUCCUUCUUUUUGGUGACGCUUCGCUUGCAUGCAAGGCGGCUAAUAAAAGCGCCAGGUAGACGCGCGGAGAUGCAUUUUGAGUACUGGUGGUACUGGACAAGCUCUAGGGGAAUAAUCUCUUUCUUAUUUCUUUCUUAUUCCUUUCAUUUGUUGCUUUGUCUUCGGUUUGUUUUUAAACUCGACCUUCUAUCGGGACUGUGGUGACGAACCUUACUCCCCUCGGUCAAGUGGUUGACCCGUCUGUCCAAUAAGUUUACUAAGUGAAUGGGAAUCCUAUAGUUUGACCAGCCUGGAUCUCUAUUCUCCAUAAGGAUAGGGUUUAUUUGAUUGGCAUUCACGCCUUUUAGAAAGAGCCACUCAAUGCAAUUCACUUUUAGGCGAAGAGAGUAGCAGGGACUAUGGUAUCGAAUUUUUUCAUUCGAGUAUCUAUUAGAAAUGAAUUCUCCAGCAUUUGAUUCCUUACUAACAAAGAACUUUUUGGUACACUUGAAAGGUACCCCAUAGCAUGACUAAUUGAUAAAAUGUGGAGGAAAGUAGGGGAAAUGGCCGAUACUACUGGAAGAAUUCCUCUUUGGCUGAUAGGAGCGUAAAUAAUUGUAACCAUAUACAUAUAAAAUGACAGCAAUGGAAUCCCAAUCCCCUGCUUUUAUUUGUAAAGUCUCUAUUCCUCGGUGAUCAAAGCCCAAUGUCUCGGGGACUCAUUCUGACUUAAACAAGGGGUGGGUCUUUACCAACUUCCUAAAUCUAUAAAAAUAUAAAACUUCUCGGCUUUUACCCAUUUUAAUUUUUUUUGGAAUAAACUGUUGUCAACUAAUCUUUUCAAUGUUCAAUUCUACUCUAUGUUAGAACACGAGAAAGUGGAAAUCCUUUUGAAGGAAGCUAUUCAGGAACAGCUGGAACGGUUUUCUCUUCAGUAACAAAUAAAUUUUGCAUGCAGGCGAGUUGCAGCCUGCAAUCCGAACUGAGGACGGGUUUUUGGAGUUAGCUCACCCUCGCGAGAUCGCGACCCUUUGUCCCGCCCAUUGUAGCCUCUAUUGAGAAUCUAGUUUCUUGAUCGAAGUAAAGAAGAAUUUUAGUUCCUCUUUAGGCGAGCUACUUCGUUCCUAUUCUCCGAAUCUGAAUAGGAGAAGGUUGUAAUGAACCCAAAAUACAUCGCUAAGGUUCAACCGUUUCGCUACGGUUUUCUUCCAAUUUCAUCCAAGAUUUAAUAACUGAUCCAUUCUCAUCCUCGGUAAAGUCCAUAUUAUUGUGAUAGAAAUGAAGAGAAAUAAAUAAGCUUUAGUUAAUGUAAUAAAUAUACCCAUUGCUCUUUGAUGAAAAGAUGAAAAAACCAAAAAAAAGCUCUGCCCUUCCAUCUCUUCGAUAGAUAGAGAGGGAGGGCAGAGGCCUUGAACAAAAAGAUCACAGUAAACUUUUGGUAAAAGUUCUAUCUUGGUCGGAGUGGGGAUAUCAUUUCUCUUCUGCAUGUCUAUGGAGUUUUGCAAAACCCAAACACCUCCCAUGCAAAACCGUGCAUGAGACUUUCAUCUCGCACGACUCCUAAGUGAUAAAAGAAAGAAGAACUCGUCUUCUCUCUUUUUUGAUUACCUUCCUCGAUCAUGAUUUGGAACCUGUUCUUUACAUGAACCCUCUUAACUAAGAUUUUCUUAUUUAUACCUGUUCUACUUUUUUUCUGUUCUGGCUCGGUUAUUCCAUCUAGCCGAGCCAUUCAUUCCUUUUUAUGAAAGAAAGAUAAGGGACUUCUUUAAAAAGAAAAAGAAGUGCCUCUAUAUUUAUAUUAUAGAUUUAUCCACUUAGAUGAAUAAAUAUUAUUAAUGAAUAUGUAUCACAAUCCAUCUCGAGGUAUUUGGAUCAAUACCUAUUCGGUGGAUCUUUUUUUCCUUUGAAGGUAAUUUUCCCAACCAAUAAGUAUUGGGCUCCCAAGUAAACAAAGCGAAGGAUCAAGUAACCAACAUGUUGCGGAGCAGCCAAGUAAACCCAUAAAUGACUCAAGUAAUCCAAGAAUCGAGGCAAACUCUGAAUACUAGAUAUGACCCAAAAAUAACAGGGGUCAAGGUCGGCCUACUGCAAACUCCAAAUAUCGUGGUCGGCGUACCUGGUCCUGAACUGUUUUUAAUCUAGAAUAAGUGGAAUCUUCUCGGCACUCUCCUUCUGCUUUAAGUCUGUUUACUUUUUACCGCCGUCUACGGAGAGACAAGAUGAGAGAGGAGAGAGGAAGCUGAAUGACAAGAGCUGAUGAAGUCCAAUCAAGAUGAGGCCUAGAAAGAGUUAAGAAAAAACACCUUCUACCUAAUUUCUGACGAAAAAGGCAGUCAUCAGUCGCCCCCUUUCCUAUUUAGCUUUGCUUGCUGCCUAUUAUGAGAAUAGGUCCCGGUUCAAGCGGCCCGCCUUUCAUCAUCAUCUAUACCAGCUGCCAUGCACGAUCCCAUAUGAACGAUUUCAUCGCCCUAAGAAGCAGAACGCGAGUUACGAAGAAACCUUUGCGAUGGUGCUGUGCAGUUGGGUUCUCUAUGGAGGAACUUCGUUGUGGGGACCAAGGGGUCUUCUUAAGAAGAGCGGAUCCAAUACACAUAAGACUUUUUUUCAGGAAAUUCCUAAUGUAACUGAUGAAUUUGGGAUGACCAGACAAUUCUUCAAUGUUGUGAAGGCCUCAAUUUGAGCAUCUGACCACUGGAAUGAUUCUUUUUUCAGACAGUCAUGAAGUGGCCUAGAAUUUAUAAAUUAAAUAUCUUGAAUAAAAAAAGGAAAUUUGCUCUGAUAUAUAGUAUAACCUGACUAUCUUGGCCUACCCAAGUGAAAUUACGAUAAAAGAAAAGUCCAGGGCAAAAAAACAAGUUAGGCUAUUCGAGAUUUGCUCUUUUUUCCAGCUUUUUGGAGUGAAAAUAAUAAACUUUUGUCUCAUACGGAAUACUAUAUGAUUUCACCGUUUGUUUCAUCAGAAACAAUCUGGGACGGAAGGAUUCGAACCUCUGAGUAACGGGACCAAAACCCGCUGAGGCAUCCUAACGAACGAACGAUUUGAACCUUGUUCCUACACGGCCUGAUCAAAUCGAUCAGGCACUUGCCAUCUAUCUUCAUUGUUCAACUCUUUGAUGAAAAUAUGAAAAAACCAAAAAAAAAGCUCUGCCCUUCCAUCGGAUGUGAACUAGCUUGCUCUGCUUGCGGAGAAAAACCAACCAAGAGGCGAUGGCCGAAGGAAGAAAUUUAGCAACACUUUUCCCGCAGGAUCUCUUGCAAGAAGAAAAUAAUCUCCAAAUUCGACGAUCGAGUUAUUCUCUAUAUCUUUAUAUAAAAUAAGAAGACAGAGAGACUCGGCUUCAAGAUGGAGAUUAAAGUUAUUUCACAGCUAAAUUCGUGUUUUCCUCGAUUUAAUAAAAUAUAGAAAGAAUUCAUGAUGAGCGGUAUAAUAAUCCGCUAUGAUGACAAUGCUGCGGUUAUAAUUGAUCAAAAAGGCAAUCCAAAAGGAACUCGAGUUUUUGGAGCGAUUGCCGAGGAAUUGAGAGGAUUGAAUUUUACCAAAAUAGUUUCAUUAGCUCCUGAAGUAUUAUAAACCAACAUUAUGAACUACUACUCGCUGAAGUACUUCGCUUUCAAGUAGACGGACUUGAUUUGAUCCCUCAUGGGAUCAAAGAGAAAAGGCUAUGUCACUCCAAAAAGGCUCCUUUUUCACUCAAUGAUUCCUUCGAAUUUGCCGACCAAAAAUUCUAUAUGUCUAUUCUAUCUAUGAUAUUUCUAUAUAGUAUAGGAAAUCCGUAAAAUCUCAGAUAUUAGUUAUUAAUCUUAGCUAUUAACUAGUUCUAAAUUUGAAGUUAUACUUAUAAAAAUAAAAAAAUACUAAAACUUCUUAAAGAUAAAGAGACUUUAGGCAAGUGGUUCUGGUAGCUCAGCUGGUUAGAGCAAAACAAGCAACGGAUUGAGCAACUAGCGCGAAAGCCGUUGCGCGUUAGCGCAUCCGUUUUCUUGCUGGAUUGCAAAUCCUUUUUUUCUUGUUUCAGUGGGAAGAGCAAGGGGCAUUGCCCUAGAAAUCCUUCAGUUGCCCGGGCCUGGUCACUGCGGCCCCCUUUUGUGAGGGGGCACUCCUUCUCCCGAAGUUACGGGGCUAUUUUGCCGAGUUCCUUAGAGAGAGUUGUCUCGCGCCCCUAGGUAUUCUCUACCUACCCACCUGUGUCAGUUUUGGGUACAGGUACCAUACGGCUCCUCCCUUCUGUACAUAAUAGUACUAAGAGAAAUAAUCUAUAAAAAGAUUUUUUUUCUUACAUCGAGAAAUAUUUGUUUUUCAAGAUAAACAAUCCUUGGGGUUCGAGAAUCCGCCUAUUUUACUAGUCUUCGGAAACGGAAAACCCUGAACCAAGAAGUCGGUGGAACCGCUGAACCACGCAAGCUGGUUAGAUGCGUGGGGCAGAGGGCUCCUAGUACCCCCAUUUUCUUGAUCCAGCCUUUUCUUCGCUUCGUUAAUGGCGAGGUUCAAAAGAGGAAAGGCUCGCGGUGGAUACCUAGGCACCCAGAGACGAGGAAGGGCGUAGCAAGCGGGAUACUUAGCACGUUAGCUAUAGCACUGCAUGGGUCAAGUCGCAUAGCACCUAGUAUCCAUCGUUUAUGGCUAGGUCAGAAUAAAUAGAAUAAUGAUCAAUGGAAAAAAGUUGGCCUCGGUCAUUAUGUAUUGAACCGAGGAAAAAGCCUCUGUAAUGGUUGGUCGGUAGUAAGACGACCUUUGCAUUUUACAUUUGGAUCUUUUUCUUAUUUCAAAAUAGUGAAAAAGUCAAAAUUUCCUUGCCAAGCUACAUGAAACAGAUUUCCGGACGUCCAUAGAAAGAUUAUUGCUAAUUGCCCAAAGUGAGAAGCAGAAAUGUUCUUCUGCUUGAUUUGAUCAAUCCAUAUGCUCCCAUCUUUAAUAAUAUUCCCGCUAAAAGCAUACAUGUACUAUAAUGUGCUUCCCCAUGGGUAUCUGGUAACAACGUAUGUAGGGGUAUAAUCGGCAAUUUGACAGCAUAAGCAAUAAGGAAGCCAAAAUAUAAAAGUAUUUUUUUUAUUUUAUUCUGGUUUUAAUCGUUUGAGGAAAACCCCCUUUGGCAUCAAUGAAACUCUGUUAUAUAGGAGUUCAAAAACCUCGCCCGCUUAAUUUCUUAAAGUACUAUGAUAAAAAGUUUAGUCUAGUUAACUGUUUAACUACUUAUAUCGAGAUUCGUCCAUUCUAUAUAUCUAGAAUAUAUAUAUUAAGGUAUAAUACAAUAAGGAAAAGGGGCAAUUCCCCCUUUUCCAUUGAAUUAGGGAAGGGGGUGAUUGAUCUUUUUUUGAAUCAGGCCUUACUGACUAAGUGGUGGUAUAAGCUUCAUUGCGGAUGAAAACAGAAAUAAUUUUGCCAGAAAUUGAUAAGGUAGCAUUUCCAUUUCUUCUUCAAAAAAAAGUGCCUUUUGAUGCAAGAAUUGCCUUUCCUUGAUAAUUUCUUGUCAAGAUGAAUAUUUUCUAAUGCCAGAGGAUACCCCUUUGAUCUGUAUCUGUUUAGUAUUUAGUUUAGUAUUUAGUAUAUAAUAGACCAAUAACAGAGCGGUAUUGCUUAGAAAAGGGAUUCAAUAUAUAAUCGAUCAAAGAAGUGGAGUUUGAAAAAGGGAACGGAAUGCUCAAACCGGAACUGCUAGAGGAAUGAAUUUUCAAUAGCAUAACUUGGGAUCCUAGAAUAUGGCGCCCUUGGGACAAUCUAUUUGAUUGCAGGGUUUUGUUCCGAAGCAAAGAUAUCCGCGGAGGCCAUGCCUCAUUUCAUAGGGAAGCCCAAAGUGGCUCUAUUUCAUUCUAUUUCACUUCCUAGCACUUCCUAUCAUUUAAUAUCCAUCCCUUUGGUCUAAUUUAGGACUUUCAAAUCUAUUUUAUUUUAUCUAAUUCUAUCUACGCCCCAGGGGCUAUGAACAAAAUAGUCCUUUCCUUUUUCAGAUCAUAGAGAAGCCGUAUGAAGCUAAGUUUUCAUGUACGGUUUUGAAAUAGCGGUGGGAACUAUGAUGUUCUUAUGGUUCUAUUUAAGAAUGGGUAUGCCAUACACCCCGCGGGGAUUGUAGUUCAAUUGGUCAGAGCACCGCCCUGUCAAGGCGGAAGCUGCGGGUUCGAGCCCCCCCUGACCAAAACCUCCCACAUUAGGAUUUCUUGUUAAUGGUUGAUCAAGCUUGAUGGAUUCCCCCUCUAAAACAAGAAGUUCUGGUCCGGGAGGUAUAAUAUCAAUCACUUGGCUAGCUAUAAUUCGAUAGACUUUCCGUAGCUCAGUACUGCUGAUCGUUGACCUGCUGAGGCAAUCGUAUUUGUUUUGGUAGAUAUGCUCUUCAAGCACUUGAACCCGCUUGGAUCACGACGAGACAGAUAGAGCAGAGGUGCUAACAAUAAUAAGAAUCUUUCAUCCUGCAAGUUACUCAUAAUUGAGAACUAGUAAUGUGGAUUUUGUUCCAUGCAAUACGGUUUUUUUUGGAUGGAAUAUUUGGCGUCAGCCUAUAGGUUUUCUGGUUUUUUUAAUUUCUUCUUUGGCAGAAUGUGAAAGAUUACCCUUUGAUUUACCAGAAGCGGAGGAAGAAUUAGUGGAUUAUUCGUGACUGCAUAUUUGCAAUACAGGCGUGGGGAUCAGUUGGAUCUUUGAUUGAGUCAUUUUUUUGAUUGACCUCCUCCAGACCAGAGAAAGAAAGGAGCUUCAGAACUCUUGUAUUCCACCGAAUAAGAAUAAGAAUAAGAAUAAGAGCAAGAAGGGGCUUUGUGAUAAUUGUGCUUGGGUGGAUGUUUAUGGUCCAACCAAAUUUAAGAGCUAUGUUUCAAUCUUCGCCUUGGAAUAAAAAGAAUUGAUAUUGGCGCGGUCUAACCUAUUAUGGGGAAUCGGUCCUUCACUUGUCCUAUCAUACCUUUUUCACGAGCCGGGCUUUGGAGAUGAGGCCUUCUGGCGAAGCCAAGUCAAUUUCGGGCCAGCAAACCCUGCAACUGAGGAACGCGAAAUGACUUUAGGUUUUGUUGAUUUAUUGCGCGAUGAUUUUAUUGAAAAAGAUCGUGCUCGUGGUAUCUUUUUCACUCAUUUUUAAAAUCUGGUAAAAAAUCUUCAACCUAACUCAACACAACUAUAUUUCGACUGCUGCGCAAAAAUGGGAUAUGCAUUUGAAAUAGAUGUCCGAGUUAUUAAGUAUAUCAUGAUCGAUACAGAAAUCGAUCGAGUUAUUUGUUCCUUUACCCAAGAAAAAGUAUUUCUAUUUUCCCAAUUUUAUUUUUUCAUUUAUUUGUUUCCCCCCAUUUGAAACAGGGCUCAAGUCGCUUCCUAAGAUGCUAAGUAGCAGGAGCAACUUUUAAUUUGUUAUGAGCCCAAACGAUAGAUUCAAUGAGUUCUUGCCAAUAACCACGGCCGCUGAAUAAAAAUUAUGAUGAGCAUCUAUUGGAGUCGAUCAUUUCCAAGAUCUAAUUCUAGUUUCUUAUUAUGUGGUGGAAACGCCUCACAAUCUUCGGUUUUACGCUUACGCUUAAGGGAAGAAAUGUUCUAGGCCAGACCAUCCUACAAAAACGAAAUGGUCCCUUCGUAACCAGUCAUCCAUAGUAUCAAAUAGAUCAUUUUCUUUCCCGGCAAUCUCCGCUUAUUAGGGUGGCCUCUAACAGGUCGGGAGAGUACUAAAAAUCUGGCUCAUACGCCUCGCAAGAUUGAACAUCUGCGAAAUGCAGAUCAAAUCACGUCUUAUAAUAAGAAGAAAUCUUUCUCGGUAUCAAUCCCCUUGCCUAAUCAUAUUCAAAAUCUGAGUUUGAUCCUGGCUCAGAAGGAACGCUAGCUAUAUGCUUAACACAUGCAAGUCGAACGUUGUUGUCGAAGUGCAAUCGUAGAACAGAAUGUGAUACGAUGAGAUAGAAUGCAAUAGAAAUAGAAACAAGGAUAGCGAAGGAGUACGCAAGAAAGGCAAAAGCACUACGAAUUAUUGAUUUAGGAAUGGGAAUGGGCUAGAACCCUGGGUUCUUUUUUGUAUCUUCAUCCAUAGAUCCUUUACUCAUAUAUUCAAUGUAGAAGAAUUUAAAUUUGAGAAUCGAAGGUUCAUAAUAUAAAAAUAUAAAACUUCCCGGCUUUUACCCAUUUUAAAUUUUUUUUGGAAGCCCGAUAAGCAUGUCUUGGGUUGGUACGCAAAUAGGAUCCCCAAUAGCGGGAGAUAAGAGAUUCAUAUGAGAAAACAUAAGUAAACGGGCUUCUGCCUGAGCUUCCAAGGAUAAAGGUAGAUGAAAGAGGCCGCUCUCGUGCAAGACUUCUUUAUUCUCCUGAUUUCCCUCCUCCAGUUGGAUUGACACGAAAGUCCAGUGAUAACGUUGAAGUACUUUAAAGAGUCCCUUUCAGCCCCCGCUUUAUCAUAGGAAGAAGAAGAGUAAUCUAGUUUAGGCGUCAGAAGAAUGGAAGGACAACGAGAAGAUGGUUCGGUUGCUCCUGCUGGAAUAUUCCAUUUAAGAAACAGGAAAGGGUUGAUAAAUGAUCAAGAAAAAACUUUUCUAUUUUUCAUUCGAUUUGCAUUAUCCGUAGGACACCUUAUAUGUAUCAAAAUUGAUAUCGAUUUCUAGUCGCGUAGCUUCAUAAUAAAUUUGCAAAGCUUCCGCAUAAUGUCCUUCGGAUUGAGCCAACAUCCGUUACGGUCGUUCAUUCUAUUCAAAAAAUCUCCGUUCCAUUAUCAGCUCACUCUUCAUCAAUCCCUAUGGAUCGAUCUAGCAAUCAUGGAAUCUAUAUUCUGUUUACUGAAUCACAUGAAAUUCUAGGGAUCUAUGAGAUCAAGUAUGGAAUUCUGUUUACUCACUUUAAAUUGAGUAUCCGUUUCCCUCCUCUUCCCGCUAGGCAACCAUGUCAUCCAUGAACAGGCUCCGUAAGAUCCCAUAGAGUAGAAAUGGAAUAAGUCAUGUGACAUGAUCCAGUUCUCUAUUUAUUACAGGCACAAUGACGCAAUUAUCAGGGGCACGCUCUACCACUGAGCUAAUAGCCCGUCGCGCGGGCCUCAUUUUCGAUUUCAGGACUUUUAGCCCCGGUUAGUGAAGGACCAGAGAACAAAAAAGAGUUGUUUUGGUGAACAUCAAAGAAAAAACUUGCUCUUCUUCCAUAAAAAAUUCUUCUAAAAACGCGGGGAUUGUAGUUCAAUUGGUCAGAGCACCGCCCUGUCAAGGCGGAAGCUGCGGGUUCGAGCCCCGUCAGUCCCGAACUAGGGUUCAAUGAAUGGAGAAAUUUAUAUUUCCUUUUUCCUGACGAUCUACGAUCACAGAACGCAAUAAUAUGAAUGUCUCUCACGAGCCCCAAAGAGGCAAUCAAGUAUGCCUGCUUUGUUGGCACAGGGAAAGGUAGAACGACCUUCCACCAUGUCAACCGCUCACUAGACUUCUUGUUGCAGUGAAGUUGCUUCAUCACCCGGCUCAACAUCAGCCUCUUCCUUUGCUCCCCAUUUUUAGACUUCUACAAGUCGACCUUCUUACGAUGGAAAUCACGAAAAAGAAUCCUGAAGGAGGAAAUAGUUCACUUGUUGGGCACCUGGGCUCCCUAUUUGUAAAUUCACUUACGUGACGAGCAAUUAACAAGGCGCGCUGCUCUUAUAACAAAGGAAUUCAUAUUUACAAUGAAAAUUUGACCGGAUUUUUUUAUGUGUGCAAUUGGGUCGUUGCGAUUACGGGUUGGUUGUCUAAUUGUCCAGGCGGUAAUGAUAGUAUCUUGUACCUGAACCGGUGGCUCACUUUUUCUAAGUAAUGGGGAAGAGGACUGAAACAUGCCACUGAAAGACUCUACUGAGACAAAAAGAUGGGCUGUCAAAAAGGUAGAGGAGGUAGGAUGGGCAGUUGGUCAGAUCUAGUAUGGAUCGUACUCGUCUUUGAGCCUCUAAAAAGAAGGGCAUAGUAUCCCAGCCACCUAGACCACCUAAAAGGAAGGAAUUUUGAUUUACCUAUUCAAAGCAAUUUACGCGAGGGACUUUCUUUGACAGAAUAUAUAAUUUCCUGCUAUGGAGCCCACAGCGGGUUUUCCAACAGGCCGUACAAGGAGCUCUAGGAACUCUGAAUAGUUGUUUGAAUACCGAGUUACAUUUCCGUACGAUUCCUGAAGUCCUCCCUCCCUUUCUUUCGGAGGUGCUGACCCGUCUGUUUGUUUUGUUUUGAAUUGACAUAGAGAAAGAUUUCUCGCAUUCAAUUGUAGCCAAUAUUUUAUUGUGAAUAAUUCCGACAACCUCAGGAGAAAAAAAGACAUUUACAUAUUAUAGAGAUGGUGCGAUUUGACUCUUUUUUUUUGCUUUUUUAGCCCUACCUACACCUCAGUCUUACGAAAAAGAGAAGGGAUAUUCUUGAUCGAUUUGGUCGGAUAUGUAGAAAUCUUUUUCAUUAUCUUUUUUUUUGAAGAAGAAAUGGAAAUGCUACCUUAUCAAUUUUUAUUAUGCCACUGAAGGGGGGGGGGAGAUAAUACCGAUUUAAGAGUAGUUCACUACUGCAAUAAAAAAAAUUGUAAUUCGCUAUUUAAUCACGAAACACGCCACUUCUAAUGUAAGGAUUGCUAAAAGGAAAAUUUGAGAAAAAGAACCCAUUGUAUGGGGAAUACUUCAAGAAGUUAUGCAGGGACAUCCUGUAUUGUUAAAUAAAGCACCUACCCUGAAUAGAUUAGGCAUAUAGGUCUUUCAACCCACUUUAGUAGAGGGGCGUACUAUUUCUUUACACCCAUUAGUCUUUUUUCAACCUACUCAAGUCCAAACCGUUGGGGCCCCUUAGAGUUUCUAACCAUGGAGCACGAUGAUAUGACUGAUAAUCAGAAGCGAGAGGCUCUGCUCUCGAAACUUGACCUCCUCGAUUCGAUCGAUGGGAGAAAUAAAAGGUUACGAGGCGAUAUUCCAUAAUUAACAUAGUUCGGUUAGAGUGGAUUUGAAAAGCUACAGCAGAUUGAUAAGUUGCUAAUUUAGCUAAGUCAACUCCACUACGGAAUCUAGCUCUCCAUAAGAGGGUAUUCCCAAUGAGACAAGUAGUUUAUCGAAGGGACCCUCUGUCUGAAGAUUGUAGUCCGGAUUUCUCGGAAUAGAAUAAUUGAAUGAGUGCGGGGGUCGAUGAAGCAGAAGCGAGAAUGUCGGCUUGAGUAACGAAAACAUUGGUGAGAAUCCAAUGCCCCGAAAACCCAAGGUUUCCUCCUCAAGGUUCGUCCACGGAGGCGAGGUUCAAAAGAGGAAAGGCUUGCGGUGGAUACCUAGGCACCCAGAGAUGAGGAAGGGCGUAGCAAGCGACGAAAUGCUUCGGGGAGUUGAAAAUAAGCAUAGAUCCGGAGAUUCCCAAAUAGGUCAACCUUUUAAACUACCUGCUGAAUCCAUGAGCAGGCAAGAGACAACCUGACCUUCGUACUUCGAUCGAGAUAUUGGACAUAGAAUGCCACUCUUUAAAGAAAUCAAUCAGCUCCUAAUUAGGUCCCCCAAGGCGAGCGAAGUGACGUUUUUAUUUCUCUUCCUCUGGUUAGAAAAAAAAAGAUUUCUAGAAAUAUUCUCUGAUGAGCGGACGGGAAAACCCUCUUUGGAUUUUCCCAAGAUCUUUGGAAUUCAUUUAUUUCUUGAGUUGUUUUUCACAUUCUUUCGAUAGGUAAUUGCAGAUAUUGACAAAGAUGGUGUACAUGAAAUGGUGAUUGCACUUUGACUCAAAAGCACAUUAUCCGCAACAUGGAAUGAAAGAGAAAUUCAAAUUAUGUAAGGUUUUUAAAAAAGUCCUGUGACUCAUGUGUGGUAUUUGAAAGGUCUUCCUAGUUAUAUCGCGAAUCUUUUAGAUAAACCUCUUAAGAAGACGGAGUGGUUGCACGUGUAAGUACAUCAUGUUACAUAUCUAUUUUAAGCUAAGCUAAAUGCCUAAACUAAACAAUUUUCUAUUAAGCACAGCAUCUCAUUGAGCUUCUCUUUUGUGCCUGCUUUCUUCUUGAUUUAUUGCAGCAGCUAGUCUCCCUUUUCCAAAUUCGAUUAAAAGCAUUACAAAAGGCUCAUUCAUCGAAAAUCAAAAUCAUACAGACAGGAAAAGAAAAACGAAUUUCUUGCCCGAACUUAUGCGAAGUAAAAAUUUAUCGAAUUCGAUCAGCACUAUAAAAAAACCUAAGUAUUUUAUUGAUCAGGCGGCACCCUGUCUACGGUUCCCUUGCGUGUGCUCGGGAUAGGUGUUUUGUAUAAAUGUUUUGCCAUAUUAUUAAGUAUUCUCCUUUAGUUUUUUUCUCUUCUGUGGAGCCGAGUUCGCCGACUGAGACUACUUGAAAAGCAUUUUCGACCAACCGAUCUCACGAGCUUCCAAAAAAUUUCUUUCCGAGUUAAUUUUCUCAGUUUUAUUACAACUUAUUAAGCACGAGAGUCAUAAGAUCCUGGUUAUAGAAGAAGAGUAGGCGAUAACUCUUAUUGUGAAAAGAGCUAUUUACUCUAUAAAUAAUGGGAAAAUUUGGAUUCAAUUGUCAACUGGUCCUAUCGAAAGUAGGAUUGAAAACUCCAUUUUCCGAGAUACUAUUACUCGACCAGGAAUCACCAACCACUAUAGUUAGAUUUAUUCGAUUUCUUCCUUUCAUUAAGGUACGAGGGCUUCUUAUUCCACAAGAACGAAAGCACCUUUUCAUUCUUUCAUAUACUAGGGGGAAGCUAUUCAGGAACAGCUGGAACGGUUUUCUCUUCAGUAACAAAUAAAUUUUGCAUUCUGUGAGAUUCGUUACCUACCAAAGAAAGGUGCAAAUAAGCCAUUUUAUUCGAUUUUGCCUUUGCUGAUCCUGCUCAUGCUUUUUUUCUCCUUCUUUUUCUUCUUUAACCAUAAAUCCAAAAAAUUUCUACCUCCUUUCUUUUUCAUGUAUUUUUCUCAUCAGGAAAAAUACAAAAUUAUGUUAGUUAUUUUGAAGUUAUUCUUGCUCCUUUUUACCAGAAUUGAAUUUUUUUAAAGAUUACUUCCGGAUUUGGGCGGGACAAAGGGUCGUGAUCUCGCGAGGGUGAGCUAACUCCAAAAACCCGUCCUCAGUUCGGAUUGCAGGCUGCAACUCGCCUGCAUGAAGCAGGAAUCGCUAGUAACAUCGGCUCUUCCGAGAUCUUAUGUAAGGAAUACUCGAAAAAGUAGAGCAAAAAGAUCUACAAAACUCUACAAGAAAUGUCUUUCCCGUAGAAGACUCUAUAUCUUCGAGCUUUUAUUCCUCAAUCCACUUAUUCGUUCCCUUCUUUCAUAUACCUCCCCACCAAUAGAUAGAGACAAAUGGGAAUAACUGAACCACGUCUACAAAAUGCCAGUACCAUGCAGCUGCUUCCUUCGCUUUGCUAUCUAAUAACUUUUUCUACCCCUCUUCCCUUUUUCUUUGUAUCAACUAUAAACCACUGGAUUGUCUUCAAUUGGAUGGGGGAAUCCAAUUGACAGCCUCCAAAUGUGCAAAUGUUGUGGCAGGGGCAGGGUCGGUCAAAUCGUCUACAGGUACAUAAACUGCUUGAAUCGAAGUUAUAAAUCCCUUUUUAGUAGAAGCAAUUCUUUCUUGCAAAGAACCCAUUUCUGUCAUGCUCAAUUAUCUCUUAACCUAGCUAUGCUAGGCUCUACAACCAUUGUUGUAGCUCAUCAUAUGUAUUCUAUGCCUCCCUAUCAAUACCUAGCUACUGACUAUGGUGCACAACUUUCCUUGUUCACACACCACAUGUGGAUUGGCGGAUUUCUAAUAGUCGGUUAUCAGUGGGAUCAGGGAUACUUUCAGCAAGAAAUAUAUCGAAGAGUUAGCAAUGGUUUAGCUGAAAAAAUCAUAAUUUUGGAUUCUAUUCAAAAAAGAUUGAUUUUAUUACGACAUGCUAUUUUUUCCAUUCAUUACCUUUGAGGAUCAGUCGUUUACUUUUUUUUUGCAAAGUUUCUGUAAAUUUGAAGUUGAACUUACUUAAACAAGCCAGACAUUGUGAUCGUCCUUGAUCAGCAAAAAGAGUAUAUAGCUCUUCGGGAAUGUGCCAUUUUGGGGAUUCCUACUAUUUCUUUAGAGGCUCAAAGACGAGUUCUUUGAAGGAAGCAAAAGAACCCAUGUGUCUCGGAUGAAGUCUACCCUCCUUUUGUGUCGGCAUUUACUUAUUAUGCUCUCUUCUAAUAGUGGUCCCUUGGUAUUCAGGUUGUAAAAUCCUGAUAGGAAAGUCGACUGUUAUACCUUGUUCUCGAAAAAGGGGUAAUUUUUUCUGGGCCUGUAUUCUUUUUCUAGGUUCACUACGAUUCUAUGAAAGAAUGAAGAGACUUUAUCACAACUCCUAAAUUGAUUUUUGAUCGACCUAUUUAAUCUGAUUCUCGCUAGAAUUAUCUUAUUAUUGUUAGCACCUCUGCUCUACCUUUUCAGGCUAGCUUCCCAUCGCUCGAAGUACACUUCCGCCCCGGCAUAGCGCUUCGCUUCCGGUUCUUCGGAGGAAUCAACUGACUUCUCCCUUCUUCAUUGAUCCGGGGGAACUUGCGAUAUUGAGGGGAUAAUACCAACUCAUCCAUUCAUCUUUCCCGAUCUAGUGCCAUCGUUCUUCAAGGUGCCGGAAGGUUUGAAGCCCAUCUAAAGUAGCUUGAAAUUCUUUCCUCUACAAUCCAGAGCAGUCCGAACAUGUACCGCGAUCUGGACGGACAAAGUGCCGUACACUUGAGAUGUUUGGUCAAGUCCUAUAACGAGCGAAACCCUUGUUUUGUGUUGCUGGGAAGAAUAUCUUAAGUAGUUGAAUCCGCUCCGCUAGGUUAAAUUGUAUGAUCUGAAUGUAGGAGGACUGCUGCUGGUGACACAAUUUCUUUUGGGUCUGAAGAAUGAACUCAGAGCUGCAGUGGAAGUGCAAGUGCACCCUAAUAUAGCUGGCUCUUUGUGGUAUUUGAAUAUUCUCCAAGAAUUCUGGUGCAUUUACUGUUAACAAAUAGAAAUAGGUAUAGUAUAGGAAAUCCGUAAAAUCUCAGAUAUUAGUUAUUAAUCUUAGCUAUUAACUAGUUCUAAAUUUGAAGUUAUACUUAUAAAAAAUAAAAAAAUACUAAAACUUCUUAAAGAUAAAUUGUGUCUAAAUAAUUAUACAACUAGGAAUACUAAUAAUCUUCUCCUAUCCUACUUUUUGAUUCAUUUAGUUCUUCAAUUAACUCAAAGUGCUUGAUCGGUAACUAAUAGUACUACGAACUAAUACUAAUAUAUAGAAAUAGAUAUCUAGAAAUAGAAAUGAACUAAUAUAUAUAUAAUCGAAAUUGAAAAGAACUUUUUUUAUUAAAUGAAAUAGUUCGUUUUCUCGCUCUUAACUCGAAAGUACUAACUAAAUAGGGGUACGGAGAAAUAAACAAGUGUGGGGGAGAAGCAGCCGAGCUCAUUCCCUUCCAUUUCUCAAUUAUGAGUAACUUGCAGGGUGAAAGAUUCUUAUUAUUGUUAGCACCUCUGCUCUACCUUUUCAGACAUCAAAUAGCUUCGAUUUGCAUUAUCCGUAGGACACCUUAUAUGUAUUAAAAUCGAUAUCAAAAUCAAAAAGAUGAAAGAUGUACAAUCCAAUUUCUCGAUUCAAUAGAAGCAGCGGGACUACCAGGGUAAAGCCCGUCCCCGCUAGCUCAUCCAAAAGAUCAUCAAUGACUCUAUCGGGUAUUUCUUUUUUACGGUUUGCGCAUUGAGUUGCCUAUAAUACAUAGGCCCCACGAACCUUCUUUCUUCUUGUAAAGAAGAGCCGGUGAGGCAUGAACUAGGUUGUAGAGUACCAUUCUAGAGUAACUCCUUGAUUAUGGCUUCAAUUUCAUCCGAUUUUUUGAGCAACUAGCGCGAAAGCCGUUGCACGUUAGCGCUUUCUUGCUUGAUUUUUGAUUGGAUAUCCCGCAUAAGGAAUCAAAGGAAGACGCGAAGUUUUAUUCCAGGGAAUCCCCAACGAAAAAUGCACACUUGGACAAUUUAUUUGUGAAAAUGUAUGUCUAUUUAAAUCGCUCAUAAAAAAUCCGGUCAAAUUUUCAUUGUAUUGAUUUACAGAUCAAGAGAGAUCAUGGAUAUCAGAUAGAACUCAGAAAGAACUAUCAAGAUGGAAGUUAUCCUAUAGAUGUUGUAUCCAUGCCUGUUCGAAAUGUGAAUCACCCUAAUAGUGCUAUACAAAAAAACAAAAGCAAAUCUUCUGAGGCAAAAUAGACAGUAAAAGCCAAAAUAAACUAAAUAUAUAUAGCCUGAAUGAUCCUAAAAAUCCCUCGAAGGCAAAACCGUGCAUGAGACUUUCAUCUUGCACGGCUCCUAAGUGAUAAAAGAAAGAAGAACUCGUCUUCUCUCUAAUGGAUAGGACAGAGGUCUUCUAAACCUUUGGUAUAGGUUCAAAUCCUAUUGGACGCAAUCUUACGUUUUCUUUCAAGCCUUUCAACCAAUCAAUGCGACCUCGUAGGGCAGCUUUUGCUAAAACUCGAGCAACAGACCAGUACUAUCCAUCAAUGCCACAAAGACCAUAGACGACCUCUAUUUCGUGGAAGAACUCUGACUAUUUUUGGAAAUAGUAUUUUUUUUUUGCAGCUUAGCUCAAUUCAUGCAUGGUUCCCGAUAAUCUGCUUGGUUGCUAAUUGGUUUAUAUGGAUUCUUCGCGGCUGAGUCCAAAAAUAGAAAUAGUAUUGCCAGAAAUUGAUAAGGUAGCAUUUCCAUUUCUUCUUCAAAAAAAAGUGUCAAGUAUCUUGGGAUUUUUUAGGUGUGAAGUGAAGUUCACAAGAAGUCGACUAGGCGGACUGGUCCGAGUGAAGAGAAAAAAAAGCCAUACGAAACUCAAAAUAUUUUCCAGAGAUAUUCAUUUUCCUGAAGAGGCGGAUAAGAUAUUAGGAAUUAUUUAUAAAUAGGUAUUCCGUUUCAUCUCAGAAAAGAACCUAAAAAUAUUCCUUGACAAAUUCUAUUUGUUCAAUAGACCUUUGUCAAUGGAAAUACAAUGAUAAGAAAACAAAUUAGAUAGAAAAAGUAAAUAAAAUAGGGGCAUUUAUUACUUGGACCAUAUUCGCAAUUUAUUUACAUAGUAGAACAAAUCCAAAUUGGAAGGGUACGAAUUCUGAACCAAAACCCGCUGCCUUACCACUUGGCCACGCCCCAUUUCAGGUUUUAUGCGACACUAAUAAACACUAGUAUGUUUAUUUGUUAUUCGUCAAUACCAUUUCAAUUACAUAAAAAAGGAGGGAUAUUCUCUUGCUAGAAUUUGGGAAGCUGCAUCUGUUGAUGAGUGGUUAUACAAUGGUGGUCCUUAUGAGCUAAUUGUUCUACACUUCUUACUUGGUGUAGCUUGUUAUAUGGGUCGUGAGUGAAACAAAACAGCUUAUAAAUUUGUAGUAAAAAGAAAAAAAAUCUCAUUUCCAAUCAAAACAAAAAAUACUGAGUCUCUUAAAUAAGACAUUCUAAAACUUAGGUAAUUUAUAGUCAUUAGGAUUUUAGUUCUAAUCCUCGUGUCACCAGUUCAAAUCUGGUUCCUGGCAUAGAAAAAACAAUCUGCCGAAUUCCCCCAGAACUACGUUUUCUUUCAAGCCUUUCAACCAAUCAAUGCGACCUCACCCCGCGGAGAACUCUGGUUGCGCUUUGGUUGGCUUUCUCUUUUUUUCGAAGGUAAUCAAAAAAGAGAGAAGACGAGUUCGAAUCCCUCUCUUUCCGUUUUUAUUAAUUCAUCAACGUUAAGGAUCACUUCGAUCUCCCCCCCAGAUGAACCAUAUAGCCAAGAGAAACCAUGAACCAGAAUAGAAGAGCUUGCCCCACCCAUGAGUAAGUAUUUCAUAGUAGCCUCUUUUUAUUCACUUUAUUACUUCUAUUCUAGACCCUAUCCCUAUGGUUUAUUCUUAUGAAAUAUCAUAUAAAAUAGAAGUUAUCUCUUUAGGAUCCACCCCAGCGUCUAGGAAUUGGUUAAUUGGUAAAAAUACAUGAAUUUGGUGCCCCGCCCAAGAAAGAGACCCAAGUCCUAAUAAUCCCGCUAAGUGGUGAUUCAACAUGGAAUCUCUUCUCACCCCCAUAUCCAAAUAAAAAAGCGGUUUAAGUAAUAAAUUUGAAUUAAAGAGAAGAAUCAACGAAUUCAUGAUUAAACCCCUAUUGCAUUUAUUUUUCUCAUUGCCGGUCACAUGUAUCAAACUAACUUCGGAAUUGGGCACAGUAUUAAAGAUCUUUUAGAAGCGCAUACUCCUCUGGGGGGUCGAUUAGGGCGUGGGCAUAAGGGCCUGCAGGAAAGCAACUUGAUAUUGCGAUCUAGAUCCAGCAAGAAGUAACGUUGCACUAUGACUCAAUCCAGUUGGAAGAAUAAGCUUAUAUACCCAAUCCCUUAUUUUUUUAUCUUCCUGUAGACCUUCCGAAUAAUUUUUUGGUUGUGCGAACCAAAAGGAAUGGUUUUUUUGGGUUGUACCAAGUCUGAAACCGAGUGGAUUUAUUUUUUGCUGGAAGGUCAAGGAAGUUGGUGAACUGAUGACUGGGAAAAUCUAGAAAUAUACAUACCCAGUUAAGGUGGGAUAUGAUUGCAUCGCGGUGUCUAAGGACGCGAUCUAAUAGAUCGUUGUAUCGAAUCGAGCGGGCAAGGGAUCGCAAACAUCUUUUCUUUUCAGAGAAAAGGUUUUCAAAAGAUAUUGCCAAUUCGGCAGUUCGAUCUAUGAUUUCACAUUCAUGGACGUUGAUAAGAUCCUUCCAUUUAGUAGCACCUUAGGAUGGCAUAGCCUUAACAUUAAUGGCGAGGUUCAAAAGAGGAAAGGCUUGCGGCGGAUACCUAGGCACCCAGAGACGAGGAAGGGCGUAGCAAGCGACGAAAUGCUUCGGGGAGUUGAAAAUAAGCAUAGAUCCGGAGAUUCCCAAAUAGGUUC